CUGCGGCUGCUGCUACAUUAGCCCACAGAAACAAAUCAGUGGACUCUUUUCUUCCAUAACAAACAAACACACUAUUAAUAAUUGCUUUGCGUUGCGCCUUCAUUUUAUAAUUUGCUAUACUGUGCUGACGUAAGACUCACCUUAACCUCUGGCUCUGGGGAUUUGCCUUAACCUCCCUCCCUCCCUCCACCCCUCCCCUAGUCGUUUCUAUCUUUCUAGAGGCAACGCGAAUGAUUAGGAAUUAAGCUAUAUUCACGUACCAAACGACGCCGUCCCACUCACCUCUUGUCAGAAUAACAACAACGCAAGCUCGUAACCGAAUCAAUUCCUACAAUACAACAAACCGACACAUUUAACCAGAAGAAGCUCUUACAGACUGCUAUUUUAUUGACAGAGAGAC
rnacentral:lncRNA from 1 species